ensembl:ncRNA F07C3.15 ncRNA
CCAAAAUCGGGUAAUGAACUCGAACUCGGCGAAGAAAACGGAAGAAACUGGGAAGAAGACGAAGCAGAGGAGCAGAUAGAAGAAGUAUUGGGGCGGUCCUCGGUUUGGACAACAUGCUUUUUUCCCGAAAAGCUGGCAGAAGAGAAAAGGGAAGAAGAGAGCUCCCUCUUGCUUCACCCUCUUUGAAGAGAGAGAGAAGGAGAGCACACUUCAUCAUCGAUCGCAUACGUCGUCAUGUCUUUUCCGUUUUGUCCCACUCUAAAACCCAAAGCCAAUUUC